GACGAACGCUGGCGGCGUGCUUAACACAUGCAAGUCGAACGCUGACGCUCAGCUUUUGUUGGGUGGAUGAGUGGCGAACGGGUGAGUAACACGUGAGUAACCUGCCCCCUUCUUUGGGAUAACGCCCGGAAACGGGUGCUAAUACUGGAUAUUCACUGGUCUUCGCAUGGGGGUUGGUGGAAAGGGUUUUUCUGGUGGGGGAUGGGCUCGCGGCCUAUCCGCUUGUUGGUGGGGUGAUGGCCUACCAAGGCUUUGACGGGUAGACGGGCUGAGAGGGUGACCGGUCACAUUGGGACUGAGAUACGGCCCAGACUAGUACGGGAGGCAGAAGUGGGGAAUAUUGCACAAUGGGCGCAAGCCUGAUGCAGCGACGCCGAGUGAGGGAUGGAGGCCUUAGGGUUGUGAACCUCUUUCGCUCAUGGUCAAGCCGAAACAAUGGUUGUGGUGAGGGUAGUGGGUAAAGAAGCGCCGGCUAACUACGUG
rnacentral:rRNA from 1 species